AUUGAACGCUGGCGGCAGGCUUAACACAUGCAAGUCGAGCGGAGAUGAGGUGCUUGCACCUUAUCUUAGCGGCGGACGGGUGAGUAAUGCUUAGGAAUCUGCCUAUUAGUGGGGGACAACAUUCCGAAAGGGAUGCUAAUACCGCAUACGUCCUACGGGAGAAAGCAGGGGAUCACUUGUGCCCUUGCGCUAAUAGAUGAGCCUAAGUCGGAUUAGCUAGUUGGUGGGGUAAAGGCCUACCAAGGCGACGAUCUGUAGCGGGUCUGAGAGGAUGAUCCGCCACACUGGGACUGAGACACGGCCCAGACUCCUACGGGAGGCAGCAGUGGGGAAUAUUGGACAAUGGGCGGAAGCCUGAUCCAGCCAUGCCGCGUGUGUGAAGAAGGCCUUUUGGUUGUAAAGCACUUUAAGCGAGGAGGAGGCUACCUGGAUUAAUACUCUAGGAUAGUGGACGUUACUCGCAGAAUAAGCACCGGCUAACUCUGUGCCAGCCGCCGCUGUAAAAC
rnacentral:rRNA from 1 species